CCUACGGGUGGCUGCAGUGAGGAAUAUUGGUCAAUGGACGAGAGUCUGAACCAGCCAAGUAGCGUGAAGGAUGACUGCCCUAUGGGUUGUAAACUUCUUUUAUAUGGGAAUAAAAUGUUCCACGUGUGGGAUUUUGUAUGUACCAUAUGAAUAAGGAUCGGCUAACUCCGUGCCAGCAGCCGCGGUAAUACGGAGGAUCCGAGCGUUAUCCGGAUUUAUUGGGUUUAAGGGGAGCGUAGGUGGAUUGUUAAGUCAGUGGUGAAAUUUUGCGGCUCAACCGUGAAAUUGCAUUUGAAACUGGCAGUCUUGAGUACAGUAGAGGUGGGCGGAAUUCGUGGUGUAGCGGUGAAAUGCGUAGAUAUCACGAAGAACUCCGAUUGCGAAGGCAGCUCACUGGACUGCAACUGACACUGAGGCUCGAAAGUGUGGGUAGCAAACAGGAUUAGAUACCCCUGUAGUC
rnacentral:rRNA from 1 species